UUUAGACUACGACGGAAGGGACAUCAAUGAGGAACUAAGGCGAUUACAACGAAAGACUUUGGAAAACGUGGAACAAGUCGAGAUGGAAGUAAGAUUGGACAAGCUCAGGAUGGAAAGAGAACUCAUAGAGAAGAGGACGACUUACGACAGUUUUCCAAUGACACCAAAAGAAGCUGAUAACGCGAUUGCGACGCCGGAACAAACACUGAAGGAAUGCGCUAUUGCCGAGGAGGCGAAGGUUUCAAAACUGGAGGGUGAGCUGUACGAAGCUCUUCUGUCCUGCAAGCUUUUCAGGCAGCGAACUCAAUCUCUGCUGGCGGAAGCGACUCAACUGGCCGCAGUCGUGGAGCAACUGGCUGAGACUGACUCGGAUGACGAUGACACGGUGUCCACCCGCACAAGCUGCGACUCCCGAGAAUAACUCAAGAAAGUUACUGCUCCGCCAAGUUCUGCGGAAGAUAAAGGACAAUGCGAGGAGGUUAAGUCAACCUCUUCACAUCAAGACACCAUUUAAAACUGAGUUUAAAGCGAAGAUAGACUUUGGUAUCAAGAAAUACCAAUUGAAUUAUUUGCAGCAGACGGGCUGUUUGCAGUUUACACAACCAAAAUAAUAAAGUUCAUUGUCAGCACACA